UACGUAGGGUGCGAGCGUUAAUCGGAAUUACUGGGCGUAAAGCGUGCGCAGGCGGUUCGUUGUGUCGGCGGUGAAAGCCCCGGGCUCAACCUGGGAAUGGCCGUUGAAACUGGCGAACUGGAGUGUGGCAGAGGGGGGUGGAAUUCCGCGUGUAGCAGUGAAAUGCGUAGAGAUGCGGAGGAACACCGAUGGCGAAGGCAGCCCCCUGGGUCAAGAUUGACGCUCAUGCACGAAAGCGUGGGGAGCAAACAGG
rnacentral:rRNA from 1 species